rnacentral:rRNA from 1 species
CCUACGGGGGGCAGCAGUGAGGAAUAUUGGUCAAUGGGCGGGAGCCUGAACCAGCCAAGCCGCGUGAGGGAAGAAGGUACAGCGUAUCGUAAACCUCUUUUGUCAGGGAACAAAGGCGGGGACUAGUCCCCGGAUGAGGGUACCUGAAGAAAAAGCAUCGGCUAACUCCGUGCCAGCAGCCGCGGUAAUACGGAGAAUGCGAGCGUUAUCCGGAUUUAUUGGGUUUAAAGGGUGCGCAGGCGGCCUUUUAAGUCAGCGGUAAACGCCCGGGGCUCAACCCCGGCGAGCCGUUGAAACUGGCGGGCUGGAGUUGGAGAGAAGUACGCGGAAUGCGCGGUGUAGCGGUGAAAGGCAUAGAUAUCGCGCAGAACCCCGAUUGCGAAGGCAGCGGACCGGCUCCACACUGACGCUGAGGCACGAAAGCGUGGGUAUCGAACAGGAUUAGAUACCCGUGUAGUC